rnacentral:lncRNA from 1 species
CCCAAACCCAAACACUACAAGUUUUUGGUGACAUUUGUAUUGAGUCCCCUUUCUGCAACUCACCAGUGUUGGCCACUGUGAGGCCAUGGUAGAUGUGGGCAGGGAACUGGAGACUCCGGGCCCAGUGGGUUCAACCUCAUGAGGGAGUGGAGUUGAGAUGCUUUGGGGAUCAGUGACACAACCUCUUACUUGGCUUGGGGUGCAAACCUAGACUCCCUGUCACCCUGGCCUUCUCCUCUCCAAGAGAAGGAGAACUGUGGGCAUCGCAGUGGUGACACUUCAGUUAUCACAGGCUCAGCAGCCAAGUGAAAAGAUGAUGUUGGAAUUUCCUAGAUGAUUCCAUUCAUGGAUUGGCCAUGCAGCAGUCCUUAGGGAUCCCCUCCUAAAAGUCACGAUCUACCCAAGAAUCCACUGUGAAUCGACCAUCCGCCAGUUUCUCCAAACGUUUUAAAGAGCAAUUUGUAUUUUCAACCUGUCUCACCUCUUGGGGAUAAUGAAUUAGACGAGUUGACUACCCACUGUGCAGGAAUUGCUCACAGUUCUCACCCUUCCAAUUCCCUAACAAAAGAACCAAGGCUGGGCACGGUGGCUUAUGUCUGUAAUCCCAGCACACUGGGAGGUCGAGGCAGGAAGAUUGCUUGGGCCCAAGGAGUUGCAGACCAG